CUAAGAGGAUCAUUGUUUCUCUCCAGUCUCUGGGUUGUUAUGGUUAAUUCUCAAAGAAGAAUAAGAAGAGAGAGCAAGUGUGUCUUUGGACAACAACUGAUUGAUGAAGUCAUUGAUUGACAGAUGAAGCUGGAAGACUGGGCCUUGGUUCUGCUGCUGAUUGGCUGCGUCUGUCUGCAGAGGGCGGACAGCAGUCUGCCCGACUUCACACCCGCAUCACCUCGGCUGCAGGUGGGACAGGUGGGUGCAGAUUAACAUGUGAUGCGAGGGUCAUCAAUACAAAAAACUCCAUGUUUAGGUUAAAAGACAACCAUCCAGGAGAUGUGGGAGACAUGAGGGACAUCAGGGGGCUGUUGAACAAAAGUAGAAUGAAGAAAUCCAGGAUAAGUGAAAAGGUGCAGCGUGACUUAGUUUGAUCUUCAUCGGUUGCACGUUUGCCGAGCCGGGAUGAGGAGGAGGAGCUUAGUCCAUCCAGAUGCACACAGCUGGGAUCAGUGCACGUUCACGGCUUUCUUAAGAAGACCACGGUGUCCAUCACAGAUCUACUGAUGCAGAAAUGGAGAAGACGCACACGGCGUAUUUUGAACCCGCUGAGCAGCAACUAAUUAUGGAAACUUAUGAGGAGGUGAAGCAUCUAAUAUGCAAAAAGGAAAAACGGAAGCUGUAAUUAAACAGAGAAAAAAUCCUGUCAGACAAUCGCGCUCAUCACCUUUACAAGUGUUCACUCCUCACUGCGCAGUUUCUCCCAUCAGAGACAGAGACCCCCCCUAUUUAGACCGGCCCGUGAAAUAUUGUCUAACAUGCAAACGGUCCGUGAGGGAAAGGUUGUGGACCACUGAUCUAAACAACUGCAAUAGUUUAAAAUCAACAAGUAAUGCAUGUUAAUGCAAAUAAAUCAGAACACAUUCAGGAGAAUAACUGUUAAACACGUUUAUUUGGGAUCGGCAGCUGAUUUAACACAUGAGGCUUCAGAAUCAAUCUUAAGCCCGGCUGUUAGCCCGGCUGUUAGCCCAGAUGUUAGCCCGGAUGUUGGCCCGGAUGUUAGCCCGGCUGUUAGCCCGGUUGGGUUGUUAGCCCGGUUGUUAGCCCGGAUGUUAGCCCGGAUGUUAGCCCAGCUGUUAGCCCGGAUGUUAGCCCGGCUGUUAGCCCGGUUGGGUUGUUAGCCCGGCUGUUAGCCCGGAUGUUAGCCCGGAUGUUAGCCCAGCUGUUAGCCCGGUUGUUAGCCCGGUUGGGCUCCCGGUUGUUAGCCCAGUUGUUAGCCCGGUUGUUAGCCCGGCUGUUAGCCCGGUCUGGAGCAGGCUAACUGCAAAAAAGAAAUCACCACGGUUACUUGGCUGCGUUUAAUUCAACCUGCUUUCGGGCAACCAAGUCAAAGCUAAAUUCAUCAGGAUAACGUGAAUAUCCCGGCUUAAUCCCUUAUCCUGGUUUCGCGCGGUAGGCCUCAGAACACCCAUUUAAUUAAACAAGAAGGUGCUUAUAAAUUCAGGCUCUUGUCAUUUAUGAAUAUUUUUUUAUUUGUAUACUCUUUAUGUUUAUUUCUGUUUGUCAGGUAGAGUCAGAUGUUGUCACUUCUCUGAAGAAGACGACGAAUAACAGACUUCGUCGACUUCCUGGACUGUGUCAACGCCUGAAGAGACGCAGGAUCACAGUCCUGGUAAACAAAGGGACAGUCUGUGAGACUAAAGACGUGACCUCUUUACCGUAAUUAUAUAGUACCCAUACUGUGAAAUGACUCCAACAGUAAAACUAGAAUACAGUAUAUUUCUGUAUUGUUUUAAUCUAAAUUUACUGAAAUGUAGUCUCUUUGAAAAUAUACAUUAGUGAGAACAUUUUGAAAAUCAAUCUGUUUGGUGCUGAGCACGAUAUGCAGAAUUGUUAAUGUUGUUAUGAACUUUUAAGAACCAUUAAGGGUCACAUUACGAAGGUCCUGUGUUCUAACCUUAUAAGUAAGAACAAAGACUGUUUGAUAAUAUAAUCAGCCAUACUAUGGAGUACAUAUUAAAGAGACGCGCAGUAGUUUUACCUACGGUUCACCUAUUAAGAGUUCAAUACCAAUACAGUUAACCCUACAAAUGACCACUUCCUUGAUCACAGUAAAGCAGUGCAUUGUUUCAUUUUUUAAUUGUUUUAUGUACACAUUGUAUGCAAGAGAGACAUGAGUAAAAACAAUGCAAACUUCUAAUUAAAUGCUCUUGGUCAUUACUUACUAACAAACAUUUUAGGAUCAAUGUGAGCACAUACAGUAUACUAUAUAUAUAUA
ensembl:lncRNA